UAAACUUGAGAGUUUGAUCCUGGCUCAGAACGAACGCUGGCGGCAGGCCUAACACAUGCAAGUCGAACGAAGGCCCGGAGCUUGCUCCGGUCACCUUAGUGGCAGACGGGAGAGUAACGCGUGGGAAUUUGCCCGAUAGUACGGAAUAACUGUUGGAAACGGCAGCUAAUACCGUAUACGCCCCUCGGGGGAAAGAUUUAUCGCUAUCGGAUAAGCCCGCGUCGGAUUA
rnacentral:rRNA from 1 species